GAAUGCUGACAUAAGUAACGAUAAAGCGGGUGAAAAGCCCGCUCGCCGGAAGACCAAGGGUUCCUGUCCAACGUUAAUCGGGGCAGGGUGAGUCGACCCCUAAGGCGAGGCCGAAAGGCGUAGUCGAUGGGAAACAGGUUAAUAUUCCUGUACUUGGUGUUACUGCGAAGGGGGGACGGAGAAGGCUAUGUUGGCCGGGCGACGGUUGUCCCGGUUUAAGCGUGUAGGCUGAUUUUCCAGGCAAAUCCGGAAAAUCAAGGCUGAGGCGUGAUGACGAGGCACUACGGUGCUGAAGCAACAAAUGCCCUGCUUCCAGGAAAAGCCUCUAAGCAUCAGGUAACAUCAAAUCGUACCCCAAACCGACACAGGUGGUCAGGUAGAGAAUACCAAGGCGCUUGAGAGAACUCGGGUGAAGGAACUAGGCAAAAUGGUGCCGUAACUUCGGGAGAAGG
rnacentral:rRNA from 1 species